rnacentral:ribozyme from 1 species
AACUUACAGCUGGAAAAGGAAAGCAAUCUGGAAGCGAAAAAAGUCAAGGGAAAAACUGGCAAAAUGCUGUUAUGCUCGUUGUUCCUCUUUUUCAUGCUACUGGACUUCACGCUGUUUUUCUAACCUCAUUCCUAGCCGCUAGGAAAAUUGUAAUGUUGUACAAAUGGGAUCCAGAGAAUGCUCU